rnacentral:tRNA from 1 species
GGUGGGGUGGCUGAGCGGUUGAAAGCGCUGGUCUCGAAAACCGGUAGUCGUGUCAAAACGGCUCGUGGGUUCAAAUCCCACCCCCACCGCCA